CCUACGGGUGGCAGCAGUGGGGAAUAUUGCACAAUGGGGGAAACUCUGAUGCAGCGACGUCGCGUGCGUGAAGAAGUAUUUCGGUAUGUAAAGCUCUAUCAGCAGGGAAGAAAAUGACGGUACCUGAUUAAGAAGCCCCGGCUAACUACGUGCCAGCAGCCGUGGUAAUACGUAGGGGGCAAGUGUGAUCCGGAUUUACUGGGGUUAAAGGGAGCGUAGACGGCAGCACAAGUCUGGAGGGAAAUGCCGGGGCUUAACCCCGGAACUGCUUGGCAAACUGUGCAGCUAGAGUGCCGCAGAGGUAAGUGGAAUUCCUAGUGUAGCGGUGAAAUGCGUAGAUAUUAGGAGGAACACCAGUGGCGAAGGCGGCUUACUGGACUGUAACUGACGUUGAGGCUCGAAAGCGUGGGGAGCAAACAGGAUUAGAUACCCCGGUAGUC
rnacentral:rRNA from 1 species